rnacentral:rRNA from 1 species
UACGUAGGGGGCAAGCGUUGUCCGGAUUUAUUGGGCGUAAAGAGCGUGUAGGCGGCCUGGCAAGUCCGCUGUGAAAACUCGAGGCUUAACCUCGAGACGUCGGUGGAAACUGCCUGGCUAGAGUCCGGGAGAGGUGAGUGGAACUCCGAGUGUAGAGGUGAAAUUCGUAGAUAUUCGGAAGAACACCAGUGGCGAAGGCGGCUCACUGGCCCGGUACUGACGCUGAGGUGCGAAAGCGUGGGGAGCAAACAGG